rnacentral:rRNA from 1 species
GAACGCUGGCGGCAGGCCUAACACGAUGCAAGUCGAACGGCAGCACGGGAGCAAUCCUGGUGGCGAGUGGCGAACGGGUGAGUAAUAUAUCGGAACGUGCCCGGUCGUGGGGGAUAACGUAGCGAAAGCUACGCUAAUACCGCAUACGAUCUACGGAUGAAAGCGGGGGAUCGCAAGACCUCGCGCGAUUGGAGCGGCCGAUAUCAGAUUAGGUAGUUGGUGAGGUAAAGGCUCACCAAGCCGACGAUCUGUAGCUGGUCUGAGAGGACGACCAGCCACACUGGGACUGAGACACGGCCCAGACUCCUACGGGAGGCAGCAGUGGGAAUUUUGGACAAUGGGCGCAAGCCUGAUCCAGCAAUGCCGCGUGCAGGAUGAAGGCCUUCGGGUUGUAAACUGCUUUUGUACGGAACGAAACGGUGAGCUCUAAUACAGUUUGCUAAUGACGGUACCGUAAGAAUAAGCACCGGCUAACUACGUG